rnacentral:rRNA from 1 species
UACUUUCAACAACGGAUCUCUUGGCUCUCGCAUCGAUGAAGAACGCAGCGAAAUGCGAUAAGUAAUGUGAAUUGCAGAAUUCAGUGAAUCAUCGAAUCUUUGAACGCACCUUGCGCUCUUUGGUAUUCCGAAGAGCAUGCCUGUUUGAGUGUCA